AUGUCCUCCUGGCGGACGCUGAUCCAGGGGGUUGAGGAGUUGAGGCGGACGGCGCCACAGGAGGCAGCGCCAUCCAAGCAGCAGGAUGCGCCGAGGGCGAGGCCACCAGUCCGGCAGCAGAGACAGAGACGAGGCAGGAACCAGAGACAAAGACAGACGUGGAGACGCGGCCGGAGCCGAGCCGCCAGGAACCGAUGCAGGUGCGGCCGGAGCCGAGCAGACGGGCGCGACCCCCUCCUGGAGGUCGGCCGGGACUGCCACUCCGAGACUGACAGGAACGGCCGUAACUUGGCCGACAGGGACUGGAACGACCUCUACUUGGCCGACAGGGAGACUGAACGGCGCGCGGCUGAGCUGGAGACUGAACGGCGCGCGGCUGAGCUGGAGACUGAACGGCGCGCGGCUGAGCUGGAGACUGAACGGCGCGCGGCUGAGCUGGAGACUGAACGGCGCGCGGCUGAGCUGGAGACUGAACGGCGCGCGGCUGAGCUGGAGACUGAACGGCGCGCGGCUGAGCUGGAGACUGAACGGAACACGGCUGAGCUGGAGACUGAACGGAACACGGCUGAGCUGGAGACCACGGAGACAGGGGACCGCACGAGUGCAGGAAGUCCUCCCAGCGGAGUAAACGUGGAGCUGGGCGUGGCCCGAGCGGACGGCGUGGAGGCGGGUGUGGUGCGGAGUGCGCUGCUUAACUCCCCAAGCCGCGCGCACAAUUGCUCGUAGAGGUGACGGACACUGGAGCGUUCUAGCACGCCGUCCUCGUCCUCUAGGGUCCACACCGCCACUUCCACGGCGCUGCGCUGGGCUUCCGGGUUGGGCGCCCUUCGGUAAUCCUCCACGAGGAUCGAAAAAUACUGGCGUAGAUCGCUGGGUAGCUCGGCGCAUGAAAACUCCAUUCUCCCCGCGGGUGAAUGGGACUCGUCGCCAAAAAACAAAAAACAAAACAAGAAACAAAAACAGUCACUGACCUAGACGGAGGCUGGAUGCUGGCUGGGUCCAAGUCUGGCCAGAUCGUUCUGUCAGGGACGCUCGGAUGAGGACCCAAAUGCACAGCGUAACACAGGUUGACGGUGAUCAAAGGGUGGUUUAUUCCAGGUUAGGCAGAGACAGCGUCAGGGACAGGCAAGGUUCAUACACGAGAGGGGGUUACAAUACCAGAAUCGUCGAGCGUCAGAUCGUGGUCAGGCAGGCAAGGUCGGCAACAGGCAGAACAGAAAAGUAGGGCAGACAAGACAGGCAGGGAUCAGGCAGGCUCAAAAUCAGCAGUCAAGACAGGGUUCACGAAACACGGUAGGGCAGGAUCAACAAACCGGAUUAUGACAGGAAACACACAAACAACGAUCUGGCGGGGAACUAAGGACACAGGUGGUGGUUAAAUACAAAGUGAACUAAUAGCAGAUGAAGUGCAGGUGUGGAUAAUGCGGACCGGUACUGACAGGGAACAGCUGUGAUGUGACGUAGCAGGAAGUCCUUUCAACAUAAAGGCGGAUCUAAAACCGGGACGUGACAACUGAACAGGAAGUAUUACAAAAUAAAACAGGAAACAACAAAAAACA
ensembl:lncRNA